UACGUAGGGGGCAAGCGUUGUCCGGAUUUAUUGGGCGUAAAGAGCGUGUAGGCGGCCAGGUAGGUCGGUUGUGAAAUCUCCGGGCUUAACUCGGAAAGGUCAACUGAUACUGUGCGACUAGAGUGCAGAAGGGGCAACUGGAAUUCUCGGUGUAGCGGUGAAAUGCGUAGAUAUCGAGAGGAACACCUGCGGCGAAGGCGGGUUGCUGGGCUGACACUGACGCUGAUGCGCGAAAGCCAGGGGAGCGAACGGG
rnacentral:rRNA from 1 species